GACGAACGCUGGCGGCGUGCUUAACACAUGCAAGUCGAACGGAAAGGCCCUGCUUUUGUGGGGUGCUCGAGUGGCGAACGGGUGAGUAACACGUGAGUAACCUGCCCUUGACUUUGGGAUAACUUCAGGAAACUGGGGCUAAUACCGGAUAGGAGCUCCUGCUGCAUGGUGGGGGUUGGAAAGUUUCGGCGGUUGGGGAUGGACUCGCGGCUUAUCAGCUUGUUGGUGGGGUAGUGGCUUACCAAGGCUUUGACGGGUAGCCGGCCUGAGAGGGUGACCGGCCACAUUGGGACUGAGAUACGGCCCAGUCUCCUACGGGAGGCAGCAGUGGAGAAUAUUGCACAAUGGGCGGAAGCCUGAUGCAGCAACGCCGCGUGCGGGAUGACGGCCUUCGGGUUGUAAACCGAUUUCGCCUGUGACGAAGCGGGAGUGACGGUAAUGGGUAAAGAAGCACCGGCUAACUACGUG
rnacentral:rRNA from 1 species